GGGCCGGUGGCGCAACCUGGUAGCGCGCCGCGUUGGCAUCGCGGAGGUUGCGGGUUCAAAUCCCGCCCGGUCCACCA
rnacentral:tRNA from 1 species